rnacentral:rRNA from 1 species
AUCAAUAAGCGGAGGAAAAGAAACCAACAGGGAUUGCCCUAGUAACGGCGAGUGAAGCGGCAACAGCUCAAAUUUGAAAUCUGGCCCUCGUGGUCCGAGUUGUAAUUUGCAGAGGAUGCUUUGGGUGCGGCGCCUUCCAAGUUCCCUAGAACGGGACGCCUUAGAGGGUGAGAGCCCCGUACGGUUGGACGCCUAGCCUAUGUAUAGCUCCUUCGACGAGUCGAGUAGUUUGGGAAUGCUGCUCUAAAUGGGAGGUAAAUUUCUUCUAAAGCUAAAUACCGGCCAGAGACCGAUAGCGCACAAGUAGAGUGAUCGAAAGAUGAAAAGUACUUUGAAAAGAGGGUUAAAUAGCACGUGAAAUUGUUGAAAGGGAAGCGUUUGCGACCAGACCUUUUCCAGGCGGAUCAUCCGGCGUUCUCGCCGGUGCACUUCGCCUGGUUUAGGCCAGCAUCGGUUUUCCCAGGGGGAUAAAGGCGGCGGGAACGUGGCUCUCUCGGGAGUGUUAUAGCCCGCCGCGUAAUACCCUUGGGGGGACCGAGGACCGCGCUUCGGCAAGGAUGCUGGCGUAAUGGUCGUCAACGACCCGUCUUGAAACACGGACCAAGGAGUCGAACAUUUGUGCGAGUGUUUGGGUGUCAAACCCUCACGCGUAAUGAAAGUGAACGGAGGUGAGAGCCCCUCGCGGGUGCAUCAUCGACCGAUCCUGAUGUCUUCGGAUGGAUUUGAGUAAGAGCAUAACUGUUCGGACCCGAAAGAUGGUGAACUAUGCGUGGAUAGGGUGAAGCCAGAGGAAACUCUGGUGGAGGCUCGCAGCGGUUCUGACGUGCAAAUCGAUCGUCAAAUCUGCGCAUGGGGGCGAAAGACUUAUCGAACCAUCUAGUAGC